UUGUAUUAAAUAAUUCAACCCCACGUCGUGGGGAUCCGGAAGAAUACAAACUCCAGGACACCGGAAAAACAUCGAGUAUCUAAAAGAACAACGACAACAAGCCCAUAAAUAAGAACUAAAACUAAAACACAACGACAGCAAGCCCAUAAACAAGUACUAAAUCUAAAACAAGAGAAUCGAGCGAGGGAAAGAAGAUAGAUGAAGCGCAAAGCUUCCAUCUCUGAAAAGACACAGGUGGAGGAGAGCAUUCCGGUGUUCCCGCGACAUCUCGAGGACCGGCGUGUCCGAGACUGAUCGUAGAUCUUUCAAACAGUUGGCCUUCCUACCACAACCCACCUUCGGAGGUAGUCCCGCGGCUCCGAAGUCCAUUUCCAUAGAAUCAAACUCUCAAACCUUAACUCCUUCUUUAGCUCUGUAGAGCUGCCGCCAUAAAUACUAGAUCUACGCGCACAUAACCCUAAAUACACCGGUCAAGAUGGGACCGCUUUGACAAGAUGCACAGCGAGGAGAACUGCCAUCUCCUCAGAAAGCUCUGUCGCUGACAGCCACCAUCACAACCGCGGUGCACACCUCUGUGCCCCGAUCACUGACUUGCGAAGCCGAGCGAGCCUCUGCACCGUCCUCAAGCAGAAAGAGCAAGCUGUUUUCCGACGAGCCCACAGAGCAUCAGCGACGCCUUGGAGAUCCAACGCUUCAGUGAUCUCACCACUUCGGAAGAGAGAGAGAAGUGCCUCCAGACGACCACCGGAUCGCUAACUCCCGUCGGUGAUGCGCAGGUUCCGAUUCUCAAGGGGAGGAGAAGGAUUGAUCUACCGGAUUGUCAUGAACGGCGUCAGAAUGAUCCUCUCCAAACAGAAGCGAUAUAAAACAAGGAGAGAGGAAGGAGUUGCGCGUGGUAUUCACGCCACAAAACCACACGUUGCAUCUAUAAUACAAGGGCAAUUUUGGUUUAAAACAAAAGCUGUAUAGUUUGUUUUUACUAUGACCAUUUAGCUAAAUAAUGUUUGAAAUGUGUCUAUAGCAUGCAAUUGCUCUAUAUUUUUUCUUAUCAAGUUUUCCG
rnacentral:lncRNA from 1 species